UGGCCAAAAGAUUCUCUCUUCAGAGGGCCUUGCAAUUGUUUUUUGAAGAGAGUGAAGCUGCAGCCAUCAUGAGGAGGAUUCAGGAGGAGAAUGUUGGCACCCCAUCUACCCAACCUAGAGAACCACCAUCUGCAGAGCCUGAAGUUGCAGCCAGCAGCAACAAAAAGAAGUGCUGUGAAGUGUGUGGACCCAAGAUGGACAGAAAAACACAGCAUGCUUCAAGUUCAAGAACUACAUAUGCAACAUACACACAGUAAAACUCUGCCCCUCAUAUGUUGUAUAGGCUGGUAUGAAAAGGCAAUGUGUUCAAUGGGGCUGACAUGUUACUGUAUGUGUUCAGCUUGUGUUGUGUAAACUGACUUGAAUGUGUUCAAUUUCAAAUGAUGUUCAAAUAAAUGAAAAUCAGUAGUUA